UAAGGGAUAUUGCGACAAUGGCCGAAAGUCUGACGCAGCAACGCCGCGUGCGGGAUGACGGCCUUCGGGUUGUAAACCGCUUUUCGGGGGGAAGAGGAAGGACGGUACCCCCGGAAUAAGUCUCGGCUAACUACGUGCCAGCAGCCGCGGUAAAACGUAGGAGGCGAGCGUUAUCCGGAUUUACUGGGUGUAAAGCGCGUGCGGGCGGUUUAGCAAGUCGUGCGUGAAAGCGCCCGGCUCAACCGGGCGAGGUCGUGCGAAACUGCUUAACUUGAGGUAGGUAGAGGCGUGUGGAAUUCCGGGUGUAGUGGUGAAAUGCGUAGAGAUCCGGAGGAACACCAGUGGCGAAGGCGACACGCUGGGCCUGACCUGACGCUCAGACGCGAAAGCAUGGGUAGCGAACGG
rnacentral:rRNA from 1 species